rnacentral:rRNA from 1 species
CCAAUAGCGUAUAUUAAAGUUGUUGCAGUUAAAAAGCUCGUAGUUGAAUUUCGAAAUUUUUUUAUCGGUUGAAUCAACAGGUUCGUACUGAUUUUAAGAAUUUCUACCUUCUGGAGAACCUUAAUGUCAUUUAUUUGAUGUUUUGGGAAACCAGGACUGUUACCUUGAAAAAAUUAGAGUGUUUAAAGCAGGCUUAUUGUCUGAAUAUAUUAGCAUGGAAUAAUGAAAUAGGACGGCAUGGUUCUAUUUUGUUGGUUUCUAGGAUCACCGUAAUGAUUAAUAGGGAUAGUUGGGGGCAUUAGUAUUCAAUUGUCAGAGGUGAAAUUCUUGGAUUUAUUGAAGACUAACUUCUGCGAAAGCAUUUGCCAAGGAUGUUUUCAUUAAUCAAGAACGAAAGUUAGGGGAUCGAAGACGAUCAGAUACCGUCGUAGUCUUAACCAUAAACUAUGCCGACUAGGAAUCGGACGAAGUUAAUUUUUUAAUGACUCGUUCGGCGCCUUACG